CAAUAGCGUAUAUUAAAGUUGUUGCAGUUAAAAGCUCGUAGUUGGAUUUCUGGACGGAGCGACCGGUCCGCCGCUGUGCGGUGCGCACUUGUGUUCGACUCUGUUCAUCCUUGUGGGGAAACGCAUUACGGCAUUAGGUUGUCGUGGCGGGGAACCGCAUCAUUUACUGUGAAAAAUUAGAGUGUUUAAAGCAGGCAAAUCGCUGUGAAUACAUUAGCAUGGAAUAAUAACAUAGGACUUUGGUUCUAUUUUGUUGGUUGGAGGCCAAGGUAAUGAUUAAUAGGGAUAGUUGGGGGUAUUCAUAUUUAAUUGUCAGAGGUGAAAUUCUUGGAUUUAUGAAAGAUGAACUCAUGCGAAAGCAUUUACCAAGGAUGUUUUCAUUAAUCAAGAACGAAAGUUAGGGGAUCGAAGAUGAUUAGAU
rnacentral:rRNA from 1 species